AGUGAACGCUGGCGGUAGGCCUAACACAUGCAAGUCGAACGGCAGCACAGGAGAGCUUGCUCUCUGGGUGGCGAGUGGCGGACGGGUGAGGAAUACAUCGGAAUCUACUUUGUCGUGGGGGAUAACGUAGGGAAACUUACGCUAAUACCGCAUACGACCUACGGGUGAAAGCAGGGGAUCUUCGGACCUUGCGCGAUUGAAUGAGCCGAUGUCGGAUUAGCUAGUUGGCGGGGUAAAGGCCCACCAAGGCGACGAUCCGUAGCUGGUCUGAGAGGAUGAUCAGCCACACUGGAACUGAGACACGGUCCAGACUCCUACGGGAGGCAGCAGUGGGGAAUAUUGGACAAUGGGCGCAAGCCUGAUCCAGCCAUACCGCGUGGGUGAAGAAGGCCUUCGGGUUGUAAAGCCCUUUUGUUGGGAAAGAAAUCCAGCUGGUUAAUACCCGGUUGGGGUGACGGUACCCAAAGAAUAAGCACUGGCUAACUUCGUGCCAGCCGCCGCGGUAA
rnacentral:rRNA from 1 species